rfam:Erythranthe guttata cultivar DTN x IM62 scaffold_262_contig_15, whole genome shotgun sequence.
GGGAAGUGAUGAGUGGUAAAUGCUCGCAAUUAAAAAAUGCGAGAUGGGUGCCUGCCUAGCCUGUUACGACAACUGGGCACUCCCCUUCUUUACCUAUCUGAUCCU